rnacentral:misc_RNA from 1 species
GGGUAUAUUCGGACUCCGCCGAAGACCAAAACCUGAUAUUUAAGUAGAAAAGGAUAGAGGGCGAUCCACGAUUCACCAAGUUUCGAGCCAAUGGCCCUCGGAAAUUUCUCGAUUAUCGAUAAAAGAUUCAAAACAGUAUAUAGAACUAACUGUAGUAAAUGUAGGGACAUUACCAUUAACACACUAGCAAAAGCAAAGGUCAAUAGACAUGUCCAGAAGCACCAAAAGAA